AUUUCUUUUUGGGGGUGA
rnacentral:piRNA from 1 species